UCUUGUAUGUACAGAUCGAAACAAUGAUAUCGUGAUUAACUUGCUUAAUCUUCACCUUCUAGAUACAAAUCGAUGCUUUUAACGCCAAAUAUCUCGCUAAAGAACGGCAAAGACACUGCUGACCGAGUCAUCGGCUUCUACGGCCGCUUUAGGCCGACGCAGACCACUUAGAUGAUGAAAUGAGAGUCGACAUUGAAGCAACCUGCUGGGAGGACACCUACUAAAUGACGGGAAUCAAAAACCAUUAACAGAAAAAAUAGAAGCGGAAUUCCUAAAUACGCAAUGCUUAUUGAAUCAAGAAUUAACUGGAAUCACUUAGAAGACCAUCGACCACAGGAACUGCCACAAUUUUUUAAUCAAUGGAUCGAAUUACCAGCAGGAAUUUUAUAAUUAUAAACCAAUCAACUGGCUACAAUUUAAUUGUGUGUCCAUUGACAUGAUGGCAAGACUACUACAACAACAAAUCAAAGCGGUAUUGCAACAAAUCCUGAAAUGAAGAUGAUUAUAGUAGACGACAUGCUUUAAAUCUCAUCCGUUAAUAAUCAAGGUUCGCGGCGCAGCUAG